UACGAAGGGGGCUAGCGUUGUUCGGAUUUACUGGGCGUAAAGCGCACGUAGGCGGAUCGUUAAGUCGGGGGUGAAAUCCUGGAGCUCAACUCCAGAACUGCCUUCGAUACUGGCGAUCUUGAGUCCGGAAGAGGUGAGUGGAACUCCUAGUGUAGAGGUGGAAUUCGUAGAUAUUAGGAAGAACACCAGUGGCGAAGGCGGCUCACUGGUCCGGUACUGACGGCUGAGGUGCGAAAGCGUGGGGAGCAAACAGG
rnacentral:rRNA from 1 species